GUCAAAGUUAUAAAUGAAGAGCAGAUAUUUUAGCGUCAGUAUUGUGAGAGCAGUCGAACAAGAUGAAAGGUUUUGUGCUAUUCCUGGUUGUCGUGCUUCUUGCGUACACGUACGCUGCCCCACAAGGAGCGACCAACUAUCCUCUCAUAACAGCUCCGGGAGGCUCGGCAGCUUCUGGAGUAUUUUCGGUCCACGGAGGAGUCAGUGUAGGCGUUGAUAAAAACAGUUGCACUUUAUUACAAAAGGUUCUUUCAGUGAUGUGGAAUGUUUGCUGAAGAAACACCAAAAAUAAUUGUGAUGAUGUCCAAUACAACAUGUUAAAUAAGUCCUAUCAUAAUACUGAAUAUUGAAUGGAAUAAAUAAGCAUGCUUCAUAUAA